AUUUAUAUAAAAGAGAACAUACAACAAAACAUAUAUAUCAUAUCAAUAUAAUUAUUUAUCAUUGACUAGUAAAUUAAGAUGAGUUCUUUUAACACUAUCACUAUCAUAAGUUUUAUGUGUAUUGCAUUAUUGCUAGUUUCGGAGCCUGGAACUGCAAUAAAUCUACCAUCAAACUGCAUGGCUGACUGCCAUUAUGGUGAUUCCACCUGCAAUAAGAUAUGUAUUGAGAAAUCCUUUAAAAAUGGAGGAAAAUGUGUACACAACCUUAGUGGGGGACCAGAUUUGAAAUGUUGUUGUUAUAAUAAUUAAAAUUUAAAAUGUAUGCUUCAUCAUCAAAUAAAUAAAGAGUAUCAUUAUAAUAA